rnacentral:rRNA from 1 species
CAGUAGCCGCGGUAAUACGAAGGGGGCUAGCGUUGUUCGGAAUUACUGGGCGUAAAGCGCACGUAGGCGGAUAUUUAAGUCAGGGGUGAAAUCCCAGAGCUCAACUCUGGAACUGCCUUUGAUACUGGGUGUCUUGAGUGUGAUAGAGGUAUGUGGAACUCCGAGUGUAGAGGUGAAAUUCGUAGAUAUUCGGAAGAACACCAGUGGCGAAGGCGACAUACUGGAUCAUUACUGACGCUGAGGCUCGAAAGCGUGGGGAGCAAACAGGAUUAGAUACCCCGGUAGUCCCUGUCUCUUAUAC